rnacentral:rRNA from 1 species
UACGAAGGGUGCAAGCGUUAAUCGGAAUUACUGGGCGUAAAGCGUGCGUAGGCGGUUUGUUAAGUCUGGUGUGAAAUCCCCGGGCUCAACCUGGGAAUGGCAAUGGAUACUGGCAGGCUAGAGUGUGUCAGAGGAUGGUGGAAUUCCCGGUGUAGCGGUGAAAUGCGUAGAGAUCGGGAGGAACAUCAGUGGCGAAGGCGGCCAUCUGGGACAACACUGACGCUGAGGCACGAAAGCGUGGGAAGCAAACAGG